rnacentral:lncRNA from 1 species
UCCGGGUGGGGGGAGGGGGGUCUUUACCUAAACUAAGCUGCCUUACUGAACGGUAUACGAGCUUCGAAUGACCAUAUAUCUUAAAUUACUUAAACAAGACAACUAUUCGCGCUUUAAAAAUCCCGUGCUAUUUACAUAACAAAUAUCAUACUCAAUAUAUUUACGCAAUGCGACAAAUAUUGACCAAUCCGAAAUAUCAUAUAUUUAAAA